CCCUAUGGGGUGCCGCAGGAAUCCGUCGGCAUCGGUAGCUGGUUUUGUAAAGACGUUUCCACGGAAGGGAGAAUAAUCUGCAACGUCUUCCGGUGAAAGCGGACGAUAGACAUCCAUCACCCAUUCGGCCACAUUGCCAGCCAUGUUGUACAGGCCAUAAUCAUUCGGCCAGUAAGAGCCGACAGGUGCAGGCAAAUCAGCUCCAUCGUUCAGGUUCCCUGAAACGCCCAUAUAGUCACCGUUGGAUCUUUUAAAAUUGGAUAUAAAACUACCGUAAUAUUUUUUCUGGUCAGUCCGGAGAAGGUUGCCGUUCCAGGGGUAGAUUCUUCUUUCGACUACCCUUUCAUAAAGCGUGUUUCCAAUCAGGCCGAGAGCAGCAAACUCCCAUUCAGCUUCGGUUGGGAGC
rnacentral:rRNA from 1 species